CUCGAAUACGGAAAAACAUAUACCUGGUAAUUCCUCCACCAAACCUUGCAGUACCUUAAAUGAAACCGGUCUCCUCGAGUCUCGGGCCUUCUUACCUUUCCUAAAACCCCGCACCGCUUGCCUCACCAUGAAAUGUUUUCUCACGUCUACCCAGCCGUUGAACUUGAAGAGGAACGCCAGCGCUGCGAGAUGCUUAUCUACCAUCGAUGGUGAAGCGUGCUCAGCGAACAAGCGGCAAAGAAUCCACAACAGCACGUCCAACCGAUUGGGUUCUGAGCCCUCCAUGCCCAGC